AUCGCUCAACGGAUAAAAGGUACUCCGGGGAUAACAGGCUGAUACCGCCCAAGAGUUCAUAUCGACGGCGGUGUUUGGCACCUCGAUGUCGGCUCAUCACAUCCUGGGGCUGAAGUAGGUCCCAAGGGUACGGCUGUUCGCCGUUUAAAGUGGUACGCGAGCUGGGUUUAGAACGUCGUGAGACAGUUCGGUCCCUAUCUGCCAUGGGCGUAGGAAAAUUGAGAGGGUUUGCUUCUAGUACGAGAGGACCGAAGUGAACGCACCGCUGGUGUACGGGUUGUGAUGCCAAUUGCAUUGCCCGGUAGCUACGUGCGGAAUAGAUAAGUGCUGAAAGCAUCUAAGCACGAAACUAGCCUUGAGAUGAGUUUUCCCUGAAGAGAUUCAGUAAGGUCCGUUUGAGACUAAGACGUAGAUAGGUCAGGUGUGUAAGUGUAGUGAUACAUUGAGCUAACUGAUACUAAUGAACCGAGAGUCUUAACCUUACAACUC
rnacentral:rRNA from 1 species